GAGGUAUUACCAGCCAACCGGGUUUGGAUUAGCAAGUCUUCAGUACAGUACAAGUUAUUUAUUACAACACGAAAAUAAACCCUACCAGGCAGUAUUACGCAUACCUGUUGUCUUAUUAGCAAACUUUCUUAUCACGCUCAUCUGCAAACUAAAGGGCAAGGCAAUAAUAAUGCCACCGAGGUCAACUGUGUUAAGCUUUGUGGGCGAGAUCAUUGAGAUUUCUCUUGUCAGUGUCCCUGUCUUUAUCUUUCCUGCCCUCGCACAAUCCCUGACUCACAGCACAGGCAGCUAGGCCGGGGACAUGCGUCCAGACUCAGUAAGCACAUCAUAGCAGCAGAAUGACGUCCAGACAUUAGCAAACACACCCACCCACCAACCUAUCUAGCUACCUACCCCUUCCGACGCCUCCACUCUCAAAAACAAAGUCAUCAGCCUCUUAUUGAUGAGCUGUUAUAGAUGAACCUUACAGCGUCUAUGACUCGUGGCACAGUCUCAGGUUCCAGCGUGUGUUUGCACUUCACAGUGAAUCAGACUGCUCUUUCUGUCUGUCUGGCUCGGAUGACACGCACCACUUCGAUUUGCUGAUCAUUUACAUAACAGGAGCUUCCAGAUUUUGAAGGAAGAGACGAGGAGAGAGAGAGAGCGAUAGAGAGAUAGCGAGCGAGAGAGAUAGCUUCCCUGUAUCUGAGGAGCACAAAGAGGCACUUUUAGGAACGCAGAGCUCGCGGCUGUCUGGAGCUGCCAGGGGCUGGGGAUGAAUGAAGACUUCGCUCUGCUGUUGGAUACUGGGCCACGUGGAAACCAGUGCUAGCUGCUGAUUGGCAGAAUGGAUCUCCAGUCGGCUGUGAUUGGCUCAAAACCACUUGGCAGUGUAUGCUAUUGCUACCUGCGUGUGCUGUACAGUAAACUCAUCCUGCGUUGAGAAGCAAUCAGUGCAUUUCUUCACGUACGGGGUCAGCAGGAUAGGUGUACCGUAGUAUAGCAAAUAUACAUUAUAUACACCACGUAUCUGGCUUCUCCAAUAGAUUGUACAAAAGGUAUACUUUCCUCAGUCUCGAAUCACACUGCACUGUACGAUUUUAUAUGUGUGUGUGUGUGUGUGGGUAACUCCGCUAUCCUGAAAUCUGGCUCCGGGGAUUUAAAAAAAGCAAGGCUUGAAGACGAGCUACAUAUCAGCGUGAUUGUAGGAGAAAUGCCAUUCUCGAAUCCCAAGCGUGACAACGUGACCUAUAAACUACGUCAGUGCCAUCUACUCAACGGGCCCGGAAUCUUCAUUUCAGCACCAAGGACAGCGGCCAGAUGAGAUGCAUGACUCUGAGCUGUGCUGACUGACGACCAAUGCACAUUUAAUAAUAAUAAUAAUAAUAAUAAUAAUAAUAAUAAUAAUAAUAAUAAUAAUAAUAAUAAUAAUAAUAAUAAACGUUCUGAGUAACCUGCCAGUUUUAUACUAUUACAUUAUUCGGUUUCCUCUCUGAAAACAAAACAAAAAUAUUGGGUUUGUGCUGCACAUGCUCCCCACAAUAGGGUCUGUGACGUGUCAUCGUCCCGGGAACAGCUAGAUCGCGUUCCAAUGCGACCCCUCGGGUUCCGUGUCUUGACAUUUCUGAGAAACUCGAGUACAGCGAUGAUUCAGCUUCCUGGGAUCCUGUAGACUAUUGACUGAUUCAGGUGGGUGUCAUCAGUGAAGAGGCGGACAAUAUAACAGGAAAUCAGCUGGUUAGGAACACUAUCAAGAGGGCAGAGCUCCGCAGCUUCCCUAGACCCCAUACCACCAGAGCCACACGUUUCAAUAGCGUUGUUUUAUUAGACCAGUUUGUUUACUAAUAAGAAAUAAAGUAUAACGUGCGUUCUGCAGUAGGACCAUAUUGUAUUAGGAUCUGUGCCUGUGCACCGCAUUCAUCUAUAGUCAUUCCAAAGCCCCGCCGUAUUCAUCUAUAGCGCAUUCCAAAGCCCUUCCGCUACCGAAUGCCCCCCCCCCUCUCUCUCUCAUGGUUCCAUUUAGAAUGGAUUUGGUCUUGCAUGGAACCCAUCCUAUGGAACACUCUGUUGAACAGUGUGUAUAAGAAUGGGUCUUUAUGGAACUGGAAGGUAUAAAGCAUGCUACGUGCUGCUGUUGUUUGAUGCGGGUUAGGUGCUGUAUCGCGGUGCUGUAUCGCAGUGCAGCAGCAGGCGAGGGGAGGCGAGGAUGCAGGUAAGAAGUCAGAGCAUCAGCACCUUGGCUCUAGACUGCUUACUGCUAAUUGUUUUUGGAAAGUACAGUAACAGUCUACAGUCAUGGCUACUGAAGCCUGGCGAUCUUCGACACGCACACAAACCUGUUGAGAAUGAUCCUGGUCGAUCAGCACCGGCCAGCCUAGCCUCUCUCUCUCUCUCGCUCUCUCUCUCUCUCUCUCUC